rnacentral:rRNA from 1 species
AGAGUUUGAUCCUGGCUCAGGACGAACGCUGGCGGCGUGCUUAACACAUGCAAGUCGAGCGGAAAGGCCCUUCGGGGUACUCGAGCGGCGAACGGGUGAGUAACACGUGAGCAAUCUGCCCUUAGCUUCGGGAUAGCUCCGGGAAACCGGAAUUAAUACCGAAUAUUACUGCGGCCGACAUCGGCGGCGGUGGAAAGCUUUUCGGCUAGGGAUGAGCUCGCGGCCUAUCAGCUUGUUGGUGGGGUAACGGCCUACCAAGGCGACGACGGGUAGCCGGCCUGAGAGGGCGACCGGCCACACUGGGACUGAGACACGGCCCAGACUCCUACGGGAGGCAGCAGUGGGGAAUAUUGCGCAAUGGGCGAAAGCCUGACGCAGCGACGCCGCGUGGGGGAUGAAGGCCUUCGGGUUGUAAACCCCUUUCAGCAGGGACGAAGCGAAAGUGACGGUACCUGCAGAAGAAGCGCCGGCUAACUACGUGCCAGCAGCCGCGGUAACACGUAGGGCGCAAGCGUUGUCCGGAAUUAUUGGGCGUAAAGAGCUCGUAGGUGGUCUUCUACGUCCGCUGUGAAAAUCCAGGGCUUAACCCUGGACUGGCAGUGGAUACGGGUCGACUAGAGGUAGGUAGGGGAGAAUGGAAUUCCCGGUGUAGCGGUGAAAUGCGCAGAUAUCGGGAGGAACACCGGUGGCGAAGGCGGUUCUCUGGGCCUUACCUGACACUGAGGAGCGAAAGCGUGGGGAGCGAACAGGAUUAGAUACCCUCGUAGUCC